rnacentral:tRNA from 1 species
GGCCGUAUAGCUCAGUGGAUAGAGCAGCUCACUGACUAAGGGCAGGUCAUGGGUUCAAAUCCCAUUACGGUCA